AGUUAAACAUGUUGUCCAAAAUUUGCUAGUGAAUCAAACAUCACGAUGUCUUGCAUGACUUCUUCCAUCUUCAGCCAACGAUAUGUUUGGGACAGGAGAACCAACAUUUUCUUGUCCUGGAUGGCUUGCUCAUUAUAGGUCAUGAGUCUAACAUGAAGUACUUCGUCAGCUUCCAACUUAGAACAUAUAUCUAACCCCUUUUUGCAUUCAAAAGGCCAUUCUCCAACGAACAUUGUCAUAUUGUCCCUUCUCAUAUGAGGUCGAUUAGCUUCGUAUAGGUUAUGUCUUCCUUGGUUGCCUAGUGUAGUCUCUCCACCCUAUUAGACUCCAACUGCAUAAUAGCAAACAAAGUAGCAGACACAUC